CCCGGCAAUAAAUUGCCGGGCUAUUUUCAAGCGUCCCUGUAGGACU
rnacentral:sRNA from 1 species